ensembl:lncRNA uncharacterized LOC115008136
CUAACUAAGUUACGUUAUCAAAUAAUUGUAUGGGAGUAAAAAGUACAAUAUUUGUUUCCAAAAUUAAGUAUAUAUGCUGAAUAUAUGUUUUACAAGACAUACAAGCAUACAUUCAGAGGGAAAAGUCGCGUCAACAACGCGUCAUAUUACGUAACAGGAGGGAGUUGUUCGUGCCUCAGAGCCAUGCGUGGUUGGUGGUUGUAAAUGUGGUCUUUAGUAAGUGAAUUGAUAUUUUUUCUUGUAGUUUCACGUUGAAUUUCACCAUGGUGAAAUACUGUGUGUGUGCGGGUUGUGCAAACUGCAGCCUGACCGGACACCGGGUCCACUGUUUCCCUAACGGGAAGAACGGAGCUGCCUUUCGUGCCUGGGUGCGUUUUGUGCAGACGAAGAAGGCGGACUUCAACACUGCAUGUGUAACGAAAGACACGGUGGUGUGCGGCGCUCAUUUUACACAGGAAGAUUAUAAUACAGGAGACAUGAUGGAGUUCAGGAUGGGAUUUCGUUGUCAGGACCGUGUGAGGCUGAAAGCUGAUGCGGUUCCUUCAAUACACGCAGACGCUUUCUCAGCUCCGCCAACAACAACAGCCGGCGGAAGUGAUGUUAUCCAGGGGUGGGUCCGGGAGUCCGAGUCUGUCCGGGAGUCCGAGUCCGUCCGGGAGUCCGCUCGACGGGAACUGUGCGCCCUACGAGCCGACACCCCAACAAUUGUAAAAGUGGAAAACUGUGAAGAAAUACGUUCAGGAACUCCUGAACAAACUGUAAAGAAGCUACAGCUACUUAAACACAGUUCACCAAAUGAAGUUAACCAGGAAACUUGCGCUGCUCCUUCUGUCCAGUCAUCUGAAAAUGGAAAGGAGUCAGGGAAAAUAGAUGUUGCCCGUCAAAGACUGAAAAGUGAAGACGAGCGAACAACCAACCAGUCAGAAAAUAAAGAAAAUAGAGAUAUUCAAGAAGAUGAAGAAUUCAUCACCUCGUUAAGUGUGGGAGACGGACGCUACCUGGUGGAUCUGGGGAGCUCGUCAGAGUUCAUCGUUGAUGAAGAGUGCAUCCUUCAGCUGUUCAAGUCAUGCCGGGAAUGCAACAGACAGUGCAAAGUUAGAAAACGAGUCAAAGGACUAAAGCUCGUGAUAAACCAGGCGUGCUGUUUCUGUCAAAGCCGCUCUAAUGGACUAACCUGUCAGACGACGACAACGACGACGAUUUCCAGAUGAAUGGAAAAGAUACAGCACAUGUUCAGACUAACUCUGCAAAGCCGUGAUGCAAGUUGAGUGUCAUGUGACAGUUGUUGUACCAAGAUUACCUUGAACCAGGAAUAUGUUAGUUUUUUUCUUUCUCAACCUGUAACACAGUGAACUGAACUGCUGGACUGUCACUUCCCUGUGAUCAACUCCCCUUUAUGUUUUUACCAUUAUUUCCUCAAUGAACCAUCUAAUGCAAGUAAGAGGGUGGAUGCCUCAGCUUGCUGCAUCUGUCUGAUAAUAAAUAACCAAAAAAUUAAAUGAUCAUUUAAAAAAAUUAAUGAAACUAAAAAGAAGAAAUAAGGGCAUUAAAAGAUACAUCAUUUAAAACAAAUGUAUUUUUCAUUAUUUAUCAAUGUUUUCACAUUGAUGUAUUAAUUUUUUCCUUAAAAUAUUCGAGUACCUACUGUGCAGAGCUUGUACUUUCAUCUGUCAUGAGUCACAUGUCGCCUUAUUGCUGCCUUGAGGUGUAACUUUACCCAAGUACUGUAGUGGAGUAAGUGGAAGUACCUCUACUUUACGUGAGUAUUUCCUCAUUAUUCUACCAGAUGAAACCAGAGUGCAGGAGGACUGCUCACUGAGGCUGCCGGUGAUCAUGAGAUGGAGCAGUUAUAAAAAUACAACGUAAAAUGAUUAUUUUGGACGGCAGCAGUUUGAAAAAAAAAAAGUUAUUCAUUGUAAAUCAGUUAAUGUGUGUUUGGCACAAAGAUUAUUUUGUUCCCUCCGCACAAAAUAAGAAACGUCACAGAGCCUUCACCACUGAGUGUUAUUACUUAGGAUUUGUGUUCAUUGUCCCAGGACACUAUGGUCCUCUCUGCAACGGGCAUUUGUUUGUUUAAAAACGUUUUGAUUGUAUAUACGGUCUGUUAGUCACCCAGCUUUGCAGUUCUCAGGACACGUGCACACACACUUUAUUUUUUAUCCGAAGCCGCUACAUACAGUCCACUUUGUUUUCUUAUUAGGUCAUCAAAGUUGAAAUGUGGUAUUCUGUCAUUGAUUUUGGGCGUUGUCUGUCCACUUGACCUACUGCCUAAUUUGUUCCCACUCUCCCUUUCCGUCGUGACUAUUACACUGACCAAAAAUAUAAACGCUCCCAUUUUUCAUGAGCUGAAAUCCAAGAUUUAUGACUAUGUACACAAAAGGCCUAUUUCUCUCAAAUAUUGUUCACGGCACUUCUCCUUUGCCAAGAUAAUCCAUCCACCUCACAGGUGUGGCAUAUCAAGAAGCUGAUUAGACAGCAUGAUUAUUGCACAGGUGUGCCUUAGGCUGGUCACAAUAAAAUAAAUCGGAGUGCAGAAUCUCUUCUGAUCUCUUGCAGCUGAUUAAUAAUAGUUGUACUUGUAUAACCUGUAUUGACACAAUUUGUCACUAGUAGAGUUUUUUACACACACACACACACACACACACACACACACCCACCAAGCUUAAACACUCAACAUGAGCAAAAAUGGAUAAACAGUUACAGUAUCUCUGUCCACAUACAUAAUAGAUUCUAAAUACCUUGUUUUAUCAUUUAUCGCCCAACUGCAGUCAACCUGAAACUAGCAUUCAGUUAAUACAGUAUAACUAAAUGUAAUGUACCUCUCCAUAUAAGACUUAAGUUGAUCACACUUUUUGAAAUUAAAUUUCAGCCGUGAUAUUUUUUUUGUCACAUCACAGAUGGAACCGCCUCGUUACAGGAUUUGUUCAAUGACUUUAUGUUUUUGAUACUUUGGUCAAGUGUAUUAGGAUCGACCUCAAAACCUCAAUAAAACACAAACAGUAACCUACACCUCAUGCAGACAACGCAAACUUUUAACUGUGACCCAUUCCAGCCAGAAGACAUGAGUGAGUCGACACAUUUAAUGGAUGAUGAUAAUGAUGACGGGACAUUUGUGUGCUCAGUAGAUACAGUAUCAGUGUUUUAACAUUGCAAACUCUUUGUAUUGGUUUAAAACUACCAUAUCUUUAGUUCUGGCUGAGAGUUAAAGACAAUCACAAUGGAGCAGAGGAAAAAGGACAGUCAUGAAAGACUGAUUAUCAUUGCUCCUGGUGAUCAGAGAGCACAACACCAGGUUAAUUAAAAAUAAAUAAUCCACUGCCAUGGUUAAUUCAUUACAAAAGGAAGACAUCACACAAAUAAGUGAGAAAGAUGGGAGUUAAAAAUCUGUCAGUGUGGGACAUUCAUACUUAUUGGCUUGCAUCGGUGGUCCUUAUUUGGCAAGAGGAAGAACAUUUGAACUAGUUUGCUACAAUAUCAGCACACAGGACUGCACAGUGAGGGAGCCAUUUUAAAACAUUCUUAGUUAUUAAGUAUUAAAAACCAUGGAAGACGAGGACUUGGUCCAAGGUGUCGGUAAGUUCAGCUGAGGUGAAAGGAAGUUAGCUGAAUUAGCUAGUAGCUACAUUUUGUCGGAGUGUGUUAAUAAUCAUCAGGACUUGUUCUUACAAUGUGAAUUUCCUCUUCUGUGCAAAUCUCUAAAGGAAGAUGCAGAUGUACUGUUCAGCAGUCAGAAAGUCGUACCCUUAGUUGUGGAAGGCAGAAAAAGUAUUUUGAAGCAUGUUCCUCUGAUUUAAAUCCAGCCUUGAUUAAGAGGAGCUUAAAACAGCCCUGUGUCCCACUUCCCUGCUCAGUGCAGGUAGCUAGUGUUGUACUGGAAGGAAGCCAUAUGGACCCGAUUGCGCAGCCUCUGGACCUCCAGAUCCUGGAAAUGGUCUUCCUCAUCGUUCUGGAUGAUGAUCUUCUGUAGUUCACCAAUCUCACGCUCCAUUCUCGAACGCAGCUCUCGCUUCAUCUUCAGCAGAGCCUGCAAAACAAAUGUAAAAUGGUUUUUACAGGGAAAAGUAAAUAAUCUUGACAUAAUCUUGCUUCAAAGCCAUGGCAAUCGCAAAAAGUAAG